rnacentral:rRNA from 1 species
GACGAACGCUGGCGGCGUGCUUAACACAUGCAAGCCGAACGAAGAGCGAUGGAAGCUUGCUUCUAUCAAUCUUAGUGGCGAACGGGUGAGUAACGCGUAAUCAACCUGCCCUUCAGAGGGGGACAACAGUUGGAAACGACUGCUAAUACCGCAUACGAUCUAAUCUCGGCAUCGAGGAUAGAUGAAAGGUGGCCUCUACAUGUAAGCUAUCACUGAAGGAGGGGAUUGCGUCUGAUUAGCUAGUUGGAGGGGUAACGGCCCACCAAGGCGAUGAUCAGUAGCCGGUCUGAGAGGAUGAACGGCCACAUUGGGACUGAGACACGGCCCAGACUCCUACGGGAGGCAGCAGUGGGGAAUCUUCCGCAAUGGACGAAAGUCUGACGGAGCAACGCCGCGUGAGUGAUGACGGCCUUCGGGUUGUAAAGCUCUGUUAAUCGGGACGAAAGGCCUUCUUGCGAAUAGGGAGAAGGAUUGACGGUACCGGAAUAGAAAGCCACGGCUAACUACGUG